GACAAUGGGCGCAAGCCUGAUCCAGCAAUGCCGCGUGCAGGAUGAAGGCCUUCGGGUUGUAAACUGCUUUUGUACGGAACGAAAAGCUCUGGGUUAAUACCCUGGGGUCAUGACGGUACCGUAAGAAUAAGCACCGGCUAACUACGUGCCAGCAGCCGCGGUAAUACGUAGGGUGCGAGCGUUAAUCGGAAUUACUGGGCGUAAAGCGUGCGCAGGCGGUUUUGUAAGACAGAGGUGAAAUCCCCGGGCUCAACCUGGGAACUGCCUUUGUGACUGCAAGGCUAGAGUACGGCAGAGGGGGAUGGAAUUCCGCGUGUAGCAGUGAAAUGCGUAGAUAUGCGGAGGAACACCGAUGGCGAAGGCAAUCCCCUGGGCCUGUACUGACGCUCAUGCACGAAAGCGUGGGGAGCAAACAGGAUUAGAUACCCUGGUAGUCCACGCCCUAAACGAUGUCAACUGGUUGUUGGGUCUUAACUGACUCAGUAACGAAGCUAACGCGUGAAGUUGACCGCCUGG
rnacentral:rRNA from 1 species